CCGAGUUUUCAACUCCCAAACCCCUGUGAACAUACCUAACGUUGCCUCGGCGGGAAAGCCCCGGGCGCUGGCUUCGGCCUCGCACCGGUAUCAGGCGCUCGCCGGAGGACCCAACAAACUCUUGUAUUCUAAAGAAUCUUCUGAGUAUCAUAAGUUAAUAAAUUA
rnacentral:misc_RNA from 1 species